rnacentral:rRNA from 1 species
CAUGCAGUCGAACGGCAGCACAGAAGAGCUUGCUCUUCGGGUGGCGAGUGGCGGACGGGUGAGUAAUGUCUGGGAAACUGCCCGAUGGAGGGGGAUAACUACUGGAAACGGUAGCUAAUACCGCAUAACGUCGCAAGACCAAAGUGGGGGACCUUCGGGCCUCACACCAUCGGAUGUGCCCAGAUGGGAUUAGCUAGUAGGUGGGGUAACGGCUCACCUAGGCGACGAUCCCUAGCUGGUCUGAGAGGAUGACCAGCCACACUGGAACUGAGACACGGUCCAGACUCCUACGGGAGGCAGCAGUGGGGAAUAUUGCACAAUGGGCGCAAGCCUGAUGCAGCCAUGCCGCGUGUAUGAAGAAGGCCUUCGGGUUGUAAAGUACUUUCAGCGGGGAGGAAGGCGAUGCGGUUAAUAACCGCGUCGAUUGACGUUACCCGCAGAAGAAGCACCGGCUAACUCCGUGCCAGCAGCCGCGGUAAUACGGAGGGUGCAAGCGUUAAUCGGAAUUACUGGGCGUAAAGCGCACGCAGGCGGUCUGUCAAGUCGGAUGUGAAAUCCCCGGGCUUAACCUGGGAACUGCAUUCGAAACUGGCAGGCUAGAGUCUUGUAGAGGGGGGUAGAAUUCCAGGUGUAGCGGUGAAAUGCGUAGAGAUCUGGAGGAAUACCGGUGGCGAAGGCGGCCCCCUGGACAAAGACUGACGCUCAGGUGCGAAAGCGUGGGGAGCAAACAGGAU